rnacentral:rRNA from 1 species
UACGGAGGGUGCAAACGUUGUUCGGAAUCAUUGGGCGUAAAGCGCACGUAGGCGGUCCAGCAAGUCGGGUGUGAAAGCCCUCGGCUUAACCGAGGAAGUGCAUUCGAAACUACUGGACUUGAAUACUGGAGAGGAUCGCGGAAUUCCCGGUGUAGAGGUGAAAUUCGUAGAUAUCGGGAGGAACACCAGUGGCGAAGGCGGCGAUCUGGACAGAUAUUGACGCUGAGGUGCGAAAGCGUGGGGAGCAAACAGG